rnacentral:rRNA from 1 species
AGUCACUGACAUUAGAUACCCCGGUAGUCCAGGGUGUAAACGAUGUGGACUUGGUGUUGGGAUGGCUCCGAGCUGCCCCAGUGCCGAAGGGAAGCUGUUAAGUCCACCGCCUGGGAAGUACGGUCGCAAGACUGAAACUUAAAGGAAUUGGCGGGGAGCACCACAACGCGUGGAGCCUGCGGUUUAAUUGGACUCAACGCCGGGAAGCUCACCGGAUAAGACAGCGGAAUGAUUGCCGGGCUGAAGACCCUGCAUGACCAGCUG